UUCAGUGAUGUAACUACUUUAGGAAAAGCCGUCUUAUGCGAUAACUGACGAUGGAAAAGCAAUCUGAGA